rnacentral:lncRNA from 1 species
GAUUGGUGUCACCAUAUCAGGAAAGUACCUGAGGUUUAGGUCACCACACAUUUUAAUCUGGUCAAACUGGUUAUCAUCAAAGUUCAUCUGGUCCUCUUAUGAUGCCUUUAAAUACAGUGAUUGGUUUUGCUGUGGGAUGGCCAGGGAGACAUUACACUUACUGACUAUAACCAUUGAGGACAUCUUCGGAAAUAUUCCUUCAUAACAAGCUUUUCAUGAAGAGAAUACACAUGUUAUAAGCCUAUAUGGCAAGAACCUGAUGGUGGCCUCUAGGAGCUAAGGGUGGCCCCAAGAAGACAACCAAGAAGUAAUACUAUACACAACAAUGCAAGUUUGUAAGUAAAUUUCUACUCAUUUGAGCCUCCAGAUGAGAAAUUAUCCCUAGCUAACAUUUGAUUGCAGGUUUGCAUAGGAAAACCAGA